UACGUAGGGGGCAAGCGUUGUCCGGAUUCGAUUGGCGUAAAGAGCGUGUAGGCGGCCAGGUAGGUCUGCUGUGAAAACUCGAGGCUCAACCUCGAGACGUCGGCGGAAACCAUCUGGCUAGAGUCCGGAAGAGGAGAGUGGAAUUCCUGGUGUAGCGGUGAAAUGCGCAGAUAUCAGGAAGAACACCCGUGGCGAAGGCGGCUCUCUGGGACGGUACUGACGCUGAGACGCGAAAGCGUGGGGAGCGAACAGG
rnacentral:rRNA from 1 species